rnacentral:rRNA from 1 species
AGUGAACGCUGGCGGUAGGCCUAACACAUGCAAGUCGAACGGCAGCACAGUAAGAGCUUGCUCUUACGGGUGGCGAGUGGCGGACGGGUGAGGAAUACAUCGGAAUCUACUUUUUCGUGGGGGAUAACGUAGGGAAACUUACGCUAAUACCGCAUACGACCUACGGGUGAAAGCAGGGGAUCUUCGGACCUUGCGCGAUUGAAUGAGCCGAUGUCGGAUUAGCUAGUUGGCGGGGUAAAGGCCCACCAAGGCGACGAUCCGUAGCUGGUCUGAGAGGAUGAUCAGCCACACUGGAACUGCGACACGGUCCAGACUCCUACGGGAGGCAGCAGUGGGGAAUAUUGGACAAUGGGCGCAGGCCUGAUCCAGCCAUACCGCGUGGGUGAAGAAGGCCUUCGGGUUGUAAAGCCCUUUUGUUGGGAAAGAAAAGCAGCAGGUUAAUACCCCGCUGUUCUGACGGUACCCAAAGAAUAAGCACCGGCUAACUUCGUG